rnacentral:misc_RNA from 1 species
GGAAGGAUCAUUAACACGUAUCCUACGUUAAUCCCCCGUGCACGUUGACAUCCGUUGAAAGAUCUUCUUUUGAACUUUGGUUGUGCAAACGAUCGUUGUUCGAGAGUCGAUAGAAUCCGUUUCUCUGCGAAAAGUGUUGACGAAACCUCAAAGUAUUGUUAAAAUGUAAUGUGGAGCCCGACACGAACGUCACUCUAGUGUCUAAUCCCAUACAAGAUCAUCGAUUUCUGGUGUUGAAGUGCAACGACGAGAAUUCGAGAGGAUCCAAAUACAAAUCCUGCGAUGUCGGUGUUUGGGCCGGUGCAGCUUUCGCGUCAUGAAACGACGUUGGAGAAAGAUGCCUGGUUCACUCAUCCGAUUUUGUGGAAGGGUUUGUACUUGUGUGAUUUUCGAAUGCGCUUGUUCCGAACACUUUUUGGCUUUUGUCGGAAGAGGCCGCGAACUUGCGGAUGACUGACUCGAGUCCGGCAUCGGGGAUCAACGAUUUUGGAAGGAGGUAAGCCAUGUUACGUCAAUUGACCUUCGGGGCGAUUUGAAACUACCGCUUGGUUCGUGGAUGGGGGCUUCGGCCUUGUGUCCUUGAAUUUCCGACAAUUGAACCGGGAAUUACGAGCUUUUCAGUGAAGGACCUACCUCAAAACUUCAGGUGUAGUAAUACGUUUCCUGGGCACAUUCCGGGUAUCUCCUGAAAGAAUUGAGGACCAGGAAGGACAUUAGCUGAAAAGGACGACUGGGUAUGGGGUUCCUAAAUCUUGUGAUUGUUUGCAGUAAUUUGUGGGUGGCUGACGGCACUUUUUGCACGUGAGGCUUGAAGGGUACGCUUGAGUCCCAGAUCGGUUUUUGAUUCUGGAGGUUUUUGGGAACUUAAUUGAUCCCAGUUUGGCUCUAGUUUUUGGAUCUCGUUCUUGGAUCUAGUUUUUCUUAAGCCGUCGAGUAUUGAAUCUUAAGAUCUGGUUUUCGGACUGGAACUCUAGAAUCGAGAAAGACAGCCCAAGGAAGAACAGGAACCGAGAACAGGAACUGGGAAUUGGAACUAGAUCGGAACGCUGAGAAUUGAAUCAGUACCGAAAACCGGAGUUGAAGAUGGACGUCCUGGGCAAGCACAUCCAUUUUAACGAAAUCCGAUAUAAACAUUGACAAACCGUCUUCUGGUAACACCGGAGGAUAACGAAAACCCGAACAACUGUUAACAAUGGAUAUCUUGGUUCUCGCAACGAUGAAGAACGCAGCGAAAUGCGAUACGUAAUGCGAAUUGCAGAAUUCAGUGAAUCAUCGAAUCUUUGAACGCAAAUUGCGCUCUCGGGUUACCCCUGAGAGCACACCUCGCUGACUAUCGGUUUAAACCCAGUAUCCCACCUUUUGGUGGUGAUAAUCGUUGAGCGUUAGGCUGGCCCUCGGGUGGGUCUAUCGCUUUAAAUACAAUCAUUCUACUCAUUGAAUGAUCCUUGCAAGUUGAUUUCACUUCGGUGAAAAAGAUUUACAAGAGUCAUCCGAUGGUAAUUGUUGGAAGGUGUGGUGGUCUUAAAUUGCAAUUUUUCGAGGCUGAAGCUGUGGGUUUGAGCGGUACUUCCCUUGUGGGUUCAUUCAUUUGAACAGUGCGAAGGAAGGCAUUGCGAAAAACGUUGCGGCUUUGGAUUAGAUUUUGCGCGAUUUUUGAACGUCGUGCUGAAAGACAGUCUCCGUUGGCCUUGAGACCAAAAGAAUGCUGGAACAAAAAAAGGAAAAAGUUGAGUCAUGAGACUCUGUUUCGAACGCCUAUAGGGCAGAAUCUAUUUGGCCCUUCUUGGACCUUUUAGCUCUACCUCUUGAAUCAGAUGUCAGCUGAAGUGAGAAAACCCCCUGAAUUUAAGCAUAUUACUAAGGGGAGGAAAAGAAACUAACAAGGAUUCCCCUAGUAACGGCGAGUGAAGCGGGAAGAGCUCAAAACUUGAAAUCCGCUGGUGUAACAACCUGUGGACUUGUAGCCUAGAGACGCUCUCUCAGUGCUAGACCGGCUAAAAAUCCCUUGGAAUGGGGUAUCAUAGAGGGUGAGAAUCCCGUCUUUGAGCUGGAUCUAAGUGCGUACGAGGGGUGUUCCAAGAGUCGCGUUGCUUGGGAGUGCAACGCAAAAUGGGUGGUAAAGUUCAUCUAAAGCUAAAUAUUGGCGAGAGACCGAUAGCGAACAAGUACCGUGAGGGAAAGAUGAAAAGAACUUUGAAAAGAGAGUUAAAAAGUACUUGAAAUUGUUAACAGGGAAGGGCAGGAAACCAGUAAUUCUUGGGCACAUUUGCGAUUGCUUCACGGCUGUCGUUACUUGUGUUCGGGAGAGUCAUCAUCAUUUAGAAUCGUUGGAGAAAGCGUAGGGGUUGGUGCCUUUCUUCGGAUUGGUUUAGUCCCUUACGUCCUACAUUGGUUCUGAAUGAGGAUGAGAACCCGCACUCUUCGGAGUACGACACUCUGUUGCCUGUUUGCCCAAGCGCGUGAGAGAACAAAGUUCUGUCUGUGCGAAAGGUGAGCACUGCUUUGGAACUGUCAGUUGCUGGGUUCGCGAUGAUGACGAAAUGGUUUUCUUCCACCCGUCUUGAAACACGGACCAAGGAGUCUAACAUAUAUGCGAGUAUUUGGGUGACAAACCCUGAUGCGCAAUGAAAGUAAAGGGGGUUUCGGCUCCCGAGGUAGGAAUCUCACCUUCGGGUGGGAGGCACUAUCGACCGAUCGUUCGCUUGCGAAAGAUUUGAGUAAUAGCAUAUCUGUUGGGACCCGAAAGAUGGUGAUCUAUGCCUGAACAGGGUGAAGCCAGGGGAAACUCUGGUGGAAGCUCGUAGCGAUACUGACGUGCAAAUCGUUCGUCUGAUUUGGGUAUAGGGGCGAAAGACUAAUCGAACCAUCUAGUAGCUGGUUCCCUC